rnacentral:rRNA from 1 species
AGGAAGGCUCUUGGGUCGUAAACCUCUUUUCUCAGGGAAGAACACAAUGACGGUACCUGAGGAAUAAGCAUCGGCUAACUCCGUGCCAGCAGCCGCGGUAAUACGGAGGAUGCAAGCGUUAUCCGGAAUGAUUGGGCGUAAAGGGUCCGCAGGUGGCGAUGUAAGUCUGCUGUUAAAGCGUCUAGCUCAACUAGAUAAAAGCAGUGGAAACUACAUAGCUAGAGUACGUUCGGGGCAGAGGGAAUUCCUGGUGUAGCGGUGAAAUGCGUAGAGAUCAGGAAGAACACCAGUGGCGAAGGCGCUCUGCUAGGCCGUAACUGACACUGAGGGACGAAAGCUAGGGGAGCGAAUGGGAUUAGAUA